GGCUUUGGCAGAUUUGAAUGGAGUAGUCACAGUCGUUGGUGUGACAAGUCAGAUGAAGGUGAUUGGUCAAACCACUUCCACCAAGUGAACGCUUGGAGCAGGAACUGUUUUCUGAAGGAAAUACAGGGAUUAACUUUGAGAAAUAUGAUGAUAUACUAGUAGAGGCAACUGGCAGUGACUAUCCUCCACAUAUUGAAAAUUUCAGCAAUAUUGACAUGGGAGAAAUUAUCAUGGGUAACAUUGAGCUUACUCAGUAUACUUGUCCUACUCCAGUGCAAAAACAUACCAUUCCUGUUAUUAAGAGAAAAAGAGACUUAAUGGCUUGUGCCCAAACGGGUUCUGGGAAAACUUUUUGCCCAUACUGAGUCAGAUAUAUACAGAUGGUCCAGGAGAAGCUUUGAAGGCUGUGAAGAAAAAUGGAAGGUAUGGGUGUCGCAAACAAUACCCAAUCUCCUUAGUUUUAGCCCCAACAAGAGAAUUGGCUGUACAGAUCUAUGAGAAGUCAGAAAAUUUCCAUACCAAUCUAAAGUUCGUCCUUGUGUAGUUUAUGGUGGUGUUGAUAUUAACAGAUUCGGGACUUAGAACGUGGAUGCCACUUGUUAGUAGCCACUCCAGGACAUCUAGUGGAUAUGAUGGAAAGAGGGAAGACUGGAUUAGACUUCUGCAAAUACUUGGUGUUGGAUGAAGCUGAUUGGAUGAUGGAUAUGGGAUUUGAACCUUAGAUACUUUGUGUAAUUGAACAAGAUACUAUGCCACUAAAGGGCAUUCAUCACACCAUGAUGUUUAGUGCUACUUUUCCUUAGGAAAUACGGAUGCUUGCUCAUGACUUUUUGGAUGAAUAUAUCUUUUUGGCUGUAGGCAGAAUAGGCUCUACCUCUGAGAAUAUCACACUGACACAGAAAGUAGUUUGGGUGGAAGAUUUAGAUAAAUGGUCAUUUCUGCUUGAUCUCCUAGGUGCAACAGGGAGGGAUUCACUGACUUCAGUGUUUGUGGAGACCAAAAUGGGAGCGGAUUCCGUGGAGGAUUUCUUAUACCAUGAAGGACAUGCUUGUACUAGUAUUCAUGGAAACUGAUCACAGAGAGAUCGAGAGGAGGCCCUUCACCAGUUUCACUUGGGGAAAAGUCCAAUUGUUGUGGCUACAGCUGUGGCAGCGCGAGGACUAGACAUUUCAAAUGUGAGACAUGCUAUCAAUUUUGAUUUGCCAAGUGAUUGAAGAAUAUGUGCAUCAUACUGGCAGUACCAGAUGUGUAGGAAACCUGGGCCUUGCCACCUCAUUCCUUAAUGAAAAAAAUAUGAAUAUUACAAAGGAUUUGUUGGUUCUUUUUAUAGAAGCUAAACAAGAAGUGCCUUCUUGGUUGGAAAAUAUGGCUUAUGAACAUUACUACAAGGGUGGCAAUCGUGGACAAUCUAAAAGAUUCAGCGGAGGAUUUGGUGUUAGAGACUAUCGACAGAGUAGAGGUUCCAGCAGUUCUGGCUUUAGGAGUAGUCGUGCAAGCAGCAGCGGCAGGGGUGGAGGUGGUUACAGCAACAGCAGAGGAUUUGGUGGAGGUGGCUAUGGAGGCGUCCGCAAUUGUGAUGGUUAUGGAGGAAAUUAUAACUACCGGGGGUUGACUGUUGGGGCAAUUGAAUCUGCUUUGCAGCAAAGUCGCCCUUACAAACAAGCUCAUAUGGAAACCACAUGUAACUUAGCCAGACUAUAUUGUGUAUCUUCAAGAACUUGCAGUACAUUACCAGCUGUGAUUUUCCUGAAAUUCAAGGGAGCUCAAAGUCACAAGAAGAAAAAUGAAAGGAAAUAAACAGCAGUUCUAUUCAGAAAUUGUUUGAAGACUUAAUUGCUGUAGUUUGGAUUUAACUCUUCCCUCCUGCUUUUGUCACACCCCAAACUGCAUUUAUAAUUUUGUGACUAAGGAUCAUUUGUUUGUUAAUGUACUGUGACUUUAACUUUAGACAACUUAUUGCUUUGAUGUCCUGUUGGCUCAGUAAUGCUCACAAUACCAAUUGUUUUGAUGAAAUAAAUUUACUAAACUUGGCCUAAAAUCAAA